rnacentral:rRNA from 1 species
GUCUCUUUGAGAAAUUAAUAAUAAAGAGUUUGGCCUGCUCAGUGAGAUUUUUAACAGCUGCGGUAUUAUAACUGUACUAAGGUAGCAUAAUAAUUUGCCUUAUAAAUUAGGGCUAGAAUGAAUGGUUUGACGAAAAUUAUACUGUCUCUAUUUUAAUUGAUAGAAAUUAAUUUUUAUAGUGAAAAAGCUUAAAUAGUUUAAAGGGACGAGAAGACCCUAUUGAGCUUUAUAUUAGUUAUAAUAAAAUAUAAUUUAUUUAGUUAAAUUAAAUUUAUAUUUAUUAUGUUUAAUUUUGGUUGGGGUGAUCAAGGAAUAAGAUAGAUAUUAUUUAACUUCCUUAACAAAUUAAUUUUUUAGAAUAAUUAACCAAUGAUAUUGCUUAUAUGAUAAGUUACCAUAGGGAUAACAGCGUAAUUUUUUUGGAGAGUUCAUAUUAAAAAAAGAGAUUGCGACCUCGAUGUUGGAUUAAAAUAACCAUGUGGUGAAGAGGCUUUAUAUGGUGAAUCUGUUCGAUUUUUAAAAUUUU